AUUUUCCAAAAAUAUUUUCUUUUCUUUCCCAUUUUGGAAACUCAGUUCAUUUUCUCUCUCUCGAGCCGCGUCGGCACCUCUCCCUUCGCCGGCGUCUAUCUUCCUCUUCCGGCCACCUCUGAGCAAGAAACCACGUCCAGCAGCUUCGCCUCACUCCUCUGAUGCCGUCUGUGGCAGCCUUUCACGGUGGCACGGCCUGUAGUGGCGGCGGCAAGCUCGUUUCGAUUUGGGUUCGAUUGGAGUCAACGCCGUUUUUCUCCUAGCUCCGGCCACAAAAACUUCCAAUCCUUGGCUCUGUGAACUCGCCUCAACCUGCUGAUCAUCAUACCAGAAGGAUCGCACCUGGGGUUACCGGAUUCAAGUUCGUCGGAGCUCGACCGGUUUUCGAUCGAAAACCAAAACCUUCUGAUCGUGAUAUCUCGAGCUGUAGUGCAUCGUUUUGAUUAAUUCUUGAACCAGUGAGUUCGCCUUGAUGUUCUUAACAACUAUCUAGAAGGAAAUAGGCCUGAAAUUGAAGUUUUUACGUCGAAAUCGUGCCUCGACGGUUUCUGCAUUUCUUCGCCGGUUUCUGGAAAAUUUCCAGCCACCUUCAAACUGUUCUAGGUGAUUGACGGUUUUUACUUGGGCGAACGAGUUUGGUGUGAUUGUGUUAAUUUGAAAACGCAGCGGGAGUAUCGAGGUCACAGGGGUGAUCAUGGCAUCUGUUAGUGAACCACGCUCUUGUACCGAGUUGGUGGUUACUAAUAGCAUUAAAUCGUGAACCACGCUCUCGCGCCGAGUUGGUGGUUACGAUCAGUUAGAGCUCUAGUCUGUCUGCCAAAUGUUGAGUGACCUUAUGAGGGUAACGGGGAGUGACUCAUAAGUGUAUAUAUAUAAAUGAGAGUGAGAAAGUGAAGUGGUUUUGUGGUGGUGGUUGUUGUGAUUGUUGGUUGUUUUGGUUGAGUUAAAAGGAAUAUGAUUUGAAAUUUAAUAAAUCAACAGUUCUUUCUUAUUUACUCAUACGAGCUGUAAAGCUUACCGGGUUUGGUGUUGUUGCAAUCCCGGUACACUAUUCAAAUUGUGUAGCGGGUAAUCCUAUAGGUCAGGAGAAUCGAGAAGGUGAUUAGGCUGCUUAGAGUAGUGGUAUUUGAGUUACAGCUUUAUUGUGAGGUUGUUAUGCUCAUUGAGCUUACAUUUAAUUUGGAGAGAGUGUGUUGUAAUAUUAAAUAACUUGAGGAUUUGGUUUAUUGUAUUAAUGAGAGGUGUGAAGUGUGGUUGUUUGUGAGAAAAAAUUUCAGGACGUUUAUUUGUAAUUGUUAUUAUUCAUGUUUCGGAUUUGAAUUGGUUAUUCAAAUUCGGGGCGUGACAAUUCUUAUGGAUUUUGUGGCAAUUUUGGUUGAAAGAACAGGGAAUGGUACUAAAUGUUAUCCCCUCAAGGUAUGAAAUCCUGGAUCCAUUUUUUUUUUCUUUUUAUUUCAUAUAGGUAGGAACGCAGGCGAUAAUGAAAACAAAGAAGUCUACAAUAGCUUCUUACUGAAAACUUUCUUGAGUUAUAUAACAGUAGAUAGGCACAGAUUGUGGUAGCUGUCAGAAAGUCAUAUAUUUUCUUAGUGGAACCAAAUUGUUUAUAUCAGUGAUAUCAAACAAAAUUAGACUGACAGGAGAUAGAAAAUUUGGUAAGAUGUCUACAAGUAUCAGGUACACUUUAUUUGGCUUCAUUUUAUUGACUGUUUCUAUACUUCCUUGUGGGUGCUUCUUUGUUUAAUCCUUCUUACAAUUUGUUCUAAUUUUUCUUUUCAAUUACUGUAAUUGUAAUUUUCCCCUCUUUCUCUUGAGUGGGUGAGUAAAUCUCUUAUUCAAUUUUUUCAUUCAGCAUCAUCUCAUCAAGCUUUGCAUGUAGCCUUGUGGGUUCUUUACUUUCUGUAUUACCAAUUUGGAGUUAGCUCUAUACUGCUGCUACUAAUAAAAUGAAAUUGAAAAACGAAACUUUUGCACCGGGAGCUCUUAAAAGUUUACAUUUUGACUCGUUGGAUAAUAUCAGAGUAUGUAGCAUGUACAUAGUACACAUAUUGUAGCUACUGCUCUCUCAUUCUAUUGGAAAAGGAUUCUCUUAGGAUUGCAAUAUUUCCUAAAAAUUUGUGGUACCAUUUGUUUGUUUUCCGUUUUUUGCUUUCUGUUCAGCGCACUUCUAUGUUGGUUUUGAUAAGAACACCUUUUAAAUAGUUUAACAGUUUAGUGCAGAAAAAAUACGCUAGAAUAGACCACCUCUUGUUCGAGCCACUUAGAAAAGUGAUGAUCAUCUCCAUUUAGAUAUGCAGCUAGAAACAUUGAUGCAUAUUCUCUCUUCGUUAUAGAAUUUCAUUCUAGGUUAAUUGUUAGCUAGGUGGAUGGGAAUACUCGUAAAAUAACGCAAGAAAAGUACUAAGAAUAGGUAUUCCACCUAAGAAGCUAGUCAAUACAUGCAAUUGUUUUCUAGGUUAAAUGCAUACUGCACACUGCUUGCUCAAAGUGCCGUUCAUGGAGCAAUGGCAGGGUUCACAGGCUUUUUAGUUGGGUUUGUAGUUAUCCUCUCUCUUACAAGUUUGUUUAUUGUCACACUUGAAUUGUGGAAACUUCUAUUUUAACUGCGUCAUCUUAGUAUGUAUCAUUGUAUCUCAUUCAAAAUGUUGCUCUCAGAGUUUGAAGUUAAGACUCACAUAUUGAUCUGUUUUUUAGUUUUGAUAUACAACAUAUUACCGAGAGCCAGAACCAGGUUGUGAUUACCGAUAGGAUCUAGGCCACAACUCCUUUCUUUAACCAACCAACCGAGCUUCUUGAACCCCAAAGACGCUGAUGAAGUCCAAAAAGGGGAAGAGCCUCCAACUCAACUGCUAGAUGGGGAAAAUUGUAAAGCUAGCAAGUACUGAAACAUUCCUAGCAUGGCAUGAAAACACAACUGUUUUAUUUGAAACCUUCUGUUAGAAUCAUAAGUAUUCAGAUCUUUGGUUGAUGCCCUACUGACCCAGAAUGUUGAUGGGAAUUCACAUUUUUGACUGCCAGUAUCAUCUAUGGAGCAUAAUUGUUUGCUGUUGUAUCAGAUGAAUUCAAUUCACCAUGCCCUACCGAAGAGAUUUCUGCUUAAAGUGUUCAUUUGGUAGAAGCAAAACUAGCAUCUCUGAAUGGGAUUAGCAGAGUCUACUUAAGCUUCACCCUUGCACGAGUUUGUAAUUACUUAGGUCAUUGCAUAUUUUUGACGAGUGCUGCUACUGGCCAUUUGUUCUGUUGGAUAGUUUUGGGCGUUUAGCAUUAGAUAGUGGUUUGGAUGUUUAAUAGGAGCUGCUAUGCCAUCUGUUUUGUUUCAUUUUUAUGCUUUCAUCUUAAAAUUGAGUUAAGUAGAUUCAUCUUUUACACAUUUCCUGCAGUGCGGUAAUGCAAUUAUUUCAUUGUAUCUGCACAGCCAUACCAAACUCAGCCAUAGUGGCAUAGUCAUUCAUUGUUUUGCGAUACAUCAUGUGUAGGGGUUGUUUGGAGUUUCUGAUUGUCUUCGUUCAUUUCAAGGAGGUUUGUAAUACAUCAUGUACCUUGCGGACUAACUACUUCAUAUGUAUUAUGAGUUAUAUGAUUUUAUAUGUCAUGAAUGAUUCAUUCUACUGUGCGCUAGUUUUUCAAUCUUCAUACUGCUUGCACUGGUAGAUUUUUCUUGGUUGAAAAGAAAUUCGAAAUCAUUAUUCUAGUUCUGCAGUUGAAAUUUAAUGCUUACAUCCAAAUGUUGAAGCUUAAACUCAAUGUAUGGGCAGAACCAAGUUUCAUAAACUUGUCAUUCAUAUAGCUAAUGUGGGGCAAGACAGUGAUCUAGAGCUUUUGUGUGCGUGCAUGGUGGAAUUGGCAGACCACAAUGCCAUGCAGUCUUUCAUGGGGAAAUAAUAUGGAGCUCAA